rnacentral:rRNA from 1 species
GGUGUAGGCGGUUUGGCAAGUCGAAUGUGAAAUCCCAGGGCCCAACCCUGGAACUGCACUCGAUACUGCUCGACUAGAGUCCCGGAGGGGGUGGCGGAAUUCCCGGUGUAGAGGUGAAAUUCGUAGAUAUCGGGAGGAACACCAGUGGCGAAGGCGGCCACCUGGACGGUGACUGACGCUCAGACCCGAAAGCGUGGGGAGCAAACA